AGUGAACGCUGGCGGUAGGCCUAACACAUGCAAGUCGAACGGCAGCACAGUAAGCGCUUGCUCUUACGGGUGGCGAGUGGCGGACGGGUGAGGAAUACAUCGGAAUCUACUUUUUCGUGGGGGAUAACGUAGGGAAACUUACGCUAAUACCGCAUACGUCCUACGGGUGAAAGCAGGGGAUCUUCGGACCUUGCGCGAUUGAAUGAGCCGAUGUCGGAUUAGCUAGUUGGCGGGGUAAAGGCUCACCAAGGCGACGAUCCGUAGCUGGUCUGAGAGGAUGAUCGGGCAGACUGGAGGAGAGACGCGCUACAGACUCUGGCGGGGAGCAGCAGCAGGGAAUCUUACGGAAUGGGCGAGAGCGGGACGGAGCGAAGUCGCGUGAGUGAUGAAGGACUUAUGCCCGUAAAACUCUGUUGUUAGGGAAGAAAAAAUGUGUAAGUAACGAUGCCGGUCUUGACGGUACCGAAUGAGAAAGCCACGGCUAACUUCGUG
rnacentral:rRNA from 1 species